rnacentral:rRNA from 1 species
UACGUAGGUGGCAAGCGUUGUCCGGAUUUACUGGGCGUAAAGAGCGCGCAGGCGGUCGUUCAAGUCGCGUGUGAAAGCCCCCGGCUCAACUGGGGAGGGUCACGCGAUACUGAUCGACUCGAAGGCAGGAGAGGGUAGUGGAAUUCCCGGUGUAGUGGUGAAAUGCGUAGAGAUCGGCAGGAACACCCAGGGGGAAACCAGUCGACUGGGCAUCUACUGACGCUGAGGUGCGAGAGCGUGGGGAGCGAACCGG